CUGCCGACUGGUUAAGGGAUAAGCACUAAGCAGAAAAUAAAUUAGGGAUAAAUGAGUGAAAAUAUUGCCAAAUUGGCAAUACGUACAUAAACACAAAAACCGUUUCAAGUUGGGACAGGUGAGUUUUAUGAGCCUUCGGCUUUUGCUUCCGUUUAGGCAGCAGGUGAUGUGGGCGAGAUGCCAAAGCUAGCUAAUAAGUCAAAACAGAAGAAAGGAGAUAAAUGCAUCAAACUGGCCGUUUUUGUCUAUAAAAGCAUCUUUUAAGAGAGAGAGAGAGAGCUGCAGGUGGGUAUUUCAGUAGUUAUGGAGGAAGAAGACGCACGCACAGAAGAAAGUCUGGUUCAAUUUCUAGGUUUUGAUGGAGAAAGUUGUGAAUACAUAACAAAGGUAUUGGCGCGCCUCAAUUUGAAUGAGUGGCUAAUAUCGGAGACUUAGCCAUACGAUUCUGAUUGAGCCGCGUCAAUAUCUCCUUCUGCAUCUUUCUCCAUCCAUCCUGUCAACUCGUCAUCAGAUAUUCAUGGUGGUCGGACAUGAAAAACGAAAAGAUUCUCUCCAGUAGCAUUUAAGCUUGGCCAUGCAUUGAUGUCAGAGAAACAUCAUCAAUAGCAUCAGUUGCUGGUAGAAGGGCUCAUUGUGAAUGUUGUGUGGGUAGGUGGUGGGUGGGUCAAGAAGAAGAUAGCAACCAGAGCUGCUAGAUUUAUCAUUUAUGGGGCUAUUGACAAGGACCCAUGGCCCCCUUUCAAUUUUUGAUAAUUUGAUGGAUUCCAACUUUUCUCUGCUCCGUUUGUCUUGCCUCCUAAGAAAUCAAAUCCGAGUCCCACUUAGUAGAUAUGUUUGGAUUUUGAGUAGAAAUCAUGGAAAUAUCUGAUUACUUUUAACUAAGUUUUCUUUUCCUUUUCACCAUCUCUUUAAUAAUUGGUGUGACAAUGUUCAAAUUCAAAGUA